rnacentral:rRNA from 1 species
AUUGAACGCUGGCGGCAGGCCUAACACAUGCAAGUCGAACGAGUGGCGGACGGGUGAGUAAUGUCUGGGAAACUGCCCGAUGGAGGGGGAUAACUACUGGAAACGGUAGCUAAUACCGCAUACCAUCGGAUGUGCCCAGAUGGGAUUAGCUAGUUGGUGAGGUAAAGGCUCACCAAGGCGACGAUACAUAGCCGACCUGAGAGGGUGAUCGGCCACACUGGGACUGGGACACGGCCCAGACGCCUACGGGAGGCAGCAGUGGGGAAUAUUGCACAAUGGGCGCAAGCCUGAUGCAGCCAUGCCGCGUGUAUGAAGAAGGCCUUCGGGUUGUAAAGUACUUUCAGCGAGGAGGCGUUACUCGCAGAAGAAGCACCGGCUAACUCCGUGCCAGCAGCCGCGGUAAUUC